UUUCAAUAUUAAUCUAGUUUGGGAAGCUUGUUCUGAUGCAGAAUAAAUGGACAGUUCUCCCAAUGGAGGGAUGUAGAAAGCCAAGUCCCCCAAGAUUCUUGUUGGCUUUAAGCAACCAUGAAGUUCAGAAAACCACAGCGGAAACAAACGUAUUUAAAAUGUUAUCAUUAAUACCUGAUU